GAUGAACUACCCUUCCCCACCAGCAGACUUGGCAGGAAGAGGGUAGCGCCGCGGCCAUUCCUUUGGGGUAAUCCAGCGUCGUCAGCAAACUUCGGUGGGGCAAUUUCACCAGCUGGCAGUUGUCCAUCAAGCCUUCCAUCCUCUGGCAGUCUGAUGGUGCUACUUCUCGUUCUCUUCAUGCUGCUGUGGCGAUAAAUGGAUACAAUGGGACCUGUCCACUGGGUAGCAGACUGGUCUCCACUCCACUGCUGCUGACACUUCCUCUGAUUCUGUGCCCCCUCCAUUCCGUGGCGAGGAGGGGCCACCUUCCCAGUACCAGAUUCAUGGACUAGCUGUUGCUGGUUAAUGAAUAAUGUGUUUUAAGAGGUCGAGAGACUCUUCCAAUUUAUUUUAUUUUAUUUUUUUUAAAUAAAAUUUUCCUGC